rnacentral:rRNA from 1 species
GACGAACGCUGGCGGCGUGCUUAACACAUGCAAGUCGAACGAAGAGCGAUGGAAGCUUGCUUCUAUCAAUCUUAGUGGCGAACGGGUGAGUAACGCGUAAUCAACCUGCCCUUCAGAGGGGGACAACAGUUGGAAACGACUGCUAAUACCGCAUACGAUCUAAUCUCGGCAUCGAGGAUAGAUGAAAGGUGGCCUCUACAUGUAAGCUAUCACUGAAGGAGGGGAUUGCGUCUGAUUAGCUAGUUGGAGGGGUAACGGACCACCAAGGCGAUGAUCAGUAGCCCGUCUGAGAGGAUGAACAGCCACAUUGGGACUGAGACACGGCCCAGACGCCUACGGGAGGCAGCAGUGGGGAAUCUUCCGCAAUGGACGAAAGUCUGACGGAGCAACGCCGCGUGAGUGAUGACGGCCUUCGGGUUGGAAAGCUCUGUUAAUCGGGACGAAAGGCCUUCUUGCGAAUAGUGAGAAGGAUUGACGGUACCGGAAUAGAAAGCCACGGCUAACUACGUG